GGGUUACGGAGAUAGCAGCAGCAGCGGCGGCUGUGGGGGCGGCGCAGUGUCCGGAGCUGAGUGCUCGGUUUAGCCGUGUCCCCGGUAUGGCAGCGGAGCGCAGAGCACAGGUGAGCCGAGGCGGCAUUACAGCAGGGUCCAUGUCCAUCCCAGUGCCAGCCUAGUACAGCACGGUGACCGGCUUCUACCACACUGACAGUGAUAUCUGCACAGAGUACACAGCAUUGUGCUGCCAGCCUAGUUAUUAUUAUAGCACUGCCAGCCUAGUUACUAUUAUUAUAGCACUGCCAGCCUAGUUAUUAUUAUAGCACUGCCAGCCUAGUUAUUAUUAUAGCACUGCCAGGCUGGUUAUUAUUAUAGCACUGCCAGCCUAGUUACUAUUAUUAUAGCACUGCCAGCCUAGAUACUAUUAUUAUAGCACUGCCAGCCUAGAUACUAUUAUAGCACUGCCAGCCUAGUUAUUAUUAUAGCACUGCCAGGCUGGCACUGCCAGCCUAGUUAUUUAUAGCACUGCCAGCCUAGUUUAUUAUAGCACUGCCAGCCUAGCACUGCCAGCCUAGUUAUUAUUAUAGCACUGCCAGCCUAGUUACUAUUAUUAUAGCACUGCCAGCCUAGUUACUAUUAUAGCACUGCCAGCCUAGCACUGCCAGCCUAGUUUAUUAUAGCACUGCCAGCCUGGUUAUUAUUAUAGCACUGCCAGCCUAGUUACUAUUAUUAUAGCACUGCCAGCCUAGUUACUAUUAUUAUAGCACUGCCAGCCUAGUUACUAUUAUCAUAGCACUGCCAGCCUAUACUAUUAUAGCACUGCCAGCCUAGUUAUUAUUAUAGCACUGCCAGGCUGGUUAUUAUUAUAGCACUGCCAGCCUAGUUAUUAUUAUAGCACUGCCAGCCUAGUUAUUAUUAUAGCACUGCCAGCCUAGUUACUAUUAUUAUAGCACUGCCAGCCUAGUUACUAUUAUAGCACUGCCAGCCUAGUUACCUAGUGCCAGCCUAGUUUAUUAUAGCACUGCCAGGCUGGUUAUUAUUAUAGCACUGCCAGCCUAGUUACUAUUAUAGCACUGCCAGCCUAGUUACUAUUAUUAUACUGCCAGCCUAGAUACUAUUAUAGCACAGUGCCAGCCUAGUUAUUAUUAUAGCACUGCCAGGCUGGUUAUUAUUAUAGCACUGCCAGCCUAGUUAUUAUUAUAGCACUAGCCUACUUACUAUUAUAGCACUGCCAGCCUAGUUAUUAUUAUAGCACUGCCAGGCUGGUUACUAUUAUAGCACUGCCAGCCUAGUUACUAUUAUAGCACUGCCAGCCUACUUACUAUUAUAGCACUACCAGACAACUUAUUAUAAUAGCACUGCCAGGCUGGUUAUUAUAGCACUGCCAGACUACUUAUUAUAGCUCUGCCAGGCUGGUUAUUAUAGCUCUGCCAGGCUGGUUAUUAUAGCUCUGCCAGGCUGGUUAUUAUAGCACUGCCAGGCUAGUUAUUAUAGCACGGCCAGCCUAGUUAUUAUAGCAAUGCCAGACUAGUUAUUAUAGCACUGGCUGACUAGUUAUAAUAGCAAUGCCAGCCAUGCCAGUUCCCAUACAGUGCUAGUUUUAUCAUCUCUGUCCCCAUACAGUGCUAGUUAUAUCAUUAGUUCCCAUACAGUGCUAGUUUAUCUCUGUUCCCAUACAGUGCUAGUUAUAUUAUCCCAUACAGUGCUAGUUAUAUCUCUGUUCCCAUACAGUGCUAGUUAUAUCAUCAUCUCUGUUCCCAUACAGUGCUAUUUACAUUAUAAUCUCUGUUCUCAGACAGUGCUAGUUAUAUCAUCAUCCCUGUACUCAUACAGGGCUAGUUACAUCAUCUACUGUGUUCUAAUACAGUGCUAGUUACAUCAUCUCUGUUCUCAUACAGUGCUAGUUAUAUCAUCGUCAUCUGUUCUAAUACAGUGCUAGUUACUACAUCAUCAUCAUCUUUGUUCUAAUACAGUGCUGGUUAGAUCAUCAUCAUCUGUCUUCUAAUACAGUGCUAGUUGAUAAUCAUCUGUGUUCUAAAUGCACUGCUGUCUGUUUUACUAUUGCAUUGCCAGUUAUGUCACAGUUCUCUUUACAACUGCACUGUAGGUUAACCUUGGCCUGCGCAGUACAACUGCAUUGCUAGUUACCAUAUUAUAUAUUUGUCAUAGGACUGUCAUGCUAGAUCCCAUCCUAAAUUACACAGAUGAGGGCCGAGAUGGCAUUGUGUUAUACAGAUACAUUGCUAGUUCUCACCUUUCUGUAAAUUUGCCAUUUGAUAUAUAUGUGUGCAAUUUUAGAUCGCAAUUCACUUAUGUUUUAUCUGUGACCUUUUAGUUUUGUCACCUUCUGCUAGUGCUUUACAAUUGUGACGCUAGUUAUCCUCUCCUGCUUGGGCUAGGCAGACUGGAUUUACAUGUCAAAUGUCUAUAGGCACACAAUUCAGCUCUUUAGCAAAUGGAAAGACGAGGGAACAGAAAGAUCCUUGCUAGAUCACAGACUUUGAGGUUAAACCGUUAACUUAAAGGGACACUCCAAUGCCAGGAAAACAAUCCGUUUUCCUGGCACUGCAGGUUCCCUCUCCCUCCCACCUCCCACCUCCCAUCCCCGGUUGCUGAAGGGGUUAAAACCCCUUCAGGCACUUACCAGAGUCAGCGACAUGUCCCAAGUCGCUGCUUCUUCCUCUGCCCCCACUCCUCCCCUUCAUUAUGUCAGCUGGCGGGGGAGACUGAUCCUGCCCGGCGGCUGGGGAGACCUAAUGCGCAUGCAGAGAUUUUAGCGACGCUGGAGGUCCUCACAAAACCUGUGCUAUGGACUAGAAAGUGCCCUCUAGUGUCUGUCUAGUAGACAGCCACUAGAGGAGGAGUUAACCCUGCAAUGUAAAUAUUGCAGUUAAUGAAAACUGCAAUAAUUACAGUUGCAGGGUUAAGGGUAGUGGGAGUUGGCACCCAGACCACUCCAAUGGGCAGAAGUGGUCUGGGUGCCUGGAGUGUCCCUUUAAAAGUUGAUCCAGGGACCUCCUGGCAUCAAAACAAUGUAGUUUAGAUGAAGUUGUUAUGGUGCACAGAGUGUUCCUUUAAGCUCCAGAAAUGACAUGGCAAUGGGGAAUGAAGCCCAGGUGCUAUGCAUUAAAGCCACCGUAUUCUUUGCCUGAAUAUUAUACUAUUACACACUAAGUUACCACUAUGUCUACUUGUUUUCCCUCUGCAGUCUGUUAUCUAAUCUCCUGCUUUCAUAUCUUGCACUUUCACUACCUUAUCUCUCAGUUAAUAAUUUUAUCUUGUUUACAUGUGCCCUGUCAUACUUCUGACUCCUUUUAUUUUUAUUUAUUUAUUAAAUUAAUGAGCAUUUUUCAGAAUUUUAAAAACUGUAAUCUAGCCACAAUAGGUAUUUUGCCUUCCCCGGUGUUUGACAACAUGGUGUUUGCUUUUGGGGCCUGUUGCAGCAGAGGUUGUGUUAAAGGUUUGGGCCGUAAUGCCUGUCUUAAAAACUUGCAUUGGCAUCACAACAAAUUUUCCGUGUAAUUACCUUUUUUUUUUUUUUUUUCUCUUCAAAACACAAGGAGAAAUAGUUUUAACAUUUUAUUUUAUGACACCUCUGCAUGCUCUGCAGGCUGGGACAAGUGUUACAUUCAGUGUAUACCUGUCUGUACUGCUCUGCAUGCUAGGACUGUUAUAGUGUAUGCUGACAGGUCCUGACAAUAGUAGUGUUUGUACAGCUCAGUAAAUUUCCUACAUUCUUUAAAGAAUAACCUGCCAGGUAAGCUGCUGUUUUUCACAAAACACACGCCUCGGAAUUGCACUACACUGCACAAGCCGAAGACACUUGUGAGUAUAGAUCUACGUAUUCAUGUUUUUUUGUUUGUGUUUUUGCUAAUUAAUAUGUGACACUGGGGAAGAUAUAUUUUAAAAAAAAUGUCGUGGACAGUUUUACAAUUUAUUAAUUAUGCUGAAUUUUUUUAACCGUGUUCCUUUUCUUGUUUCCUAAAUGCCAUUUUUUAUUUUUUGAAUGUGCAUCUGUUUUGGACAAAACUAAGGAUUUAUCACUAUUUCAGUUACAUUUUACCCUGAACUCUUUUCUGAUAACUUGACAGCUGUUUUGGAAAUUAUUCUGUCUUGGUACACAAGGGGGGAAUUAGGUGGAGAAAAGUCAACCCCUCUUAGAACAUUUUUAGAACAAUUUUCAUGAGUACCGUACAUUUGUGUGGGGAAGAGAGGGGUGGCAGAGGUAGUUUUGCUUUGUUUUGUUUUUUUGUUUGUUUUUUACCAUCUUACAAAAAAGAAAAUGGUGGGAGGAGGGUAGUGUUUGUUUGCCAAGUGGCUGAGCCUCAUGAGCCUUAUAUUCCAUAACAAAAAGGGUGCCACCGUUUUUCUGUCUCUCCAGUCUUGUUCUGUCUGUGUUUUAACUGAGAAUAUACUCACAACCUCAGCUUGUGUGGGGUUGUUUUUAUUUUUAUUUUUUGUGUUUUUUUUUUUUUACUUAGUAAACAUGUUUUUGACUUCCCUUUAAAUAACACAGGGCUUAUAAAGGUUUCUUACCAGACUAGUUUAGCUAGCAACACAUUGACACAGAUCUAAGUUGCUCCUUUACCUAAUAUAGCUCAUAUGAUCUUAUACAUGUUAAUAUUUAAUUUGCUACAUAUUUCUGUUUUGUGUGUGUGUGUGGUUUUUUUUUGGUUUUUUUUUUUUCUAGUUUGUGUUUAAAAGUCAAUCAAGAGCAAGUAUGGGUAUAUUUCUAAGUCAUGCCCUUUGCACACCGAAUCUGUUCUUGUUUCUUUUCUUAAAGGAAUAAUUUAGUUUUAGGAAUACAAACAUGCAUUCCUAACACUGUAGUGCUGGACUAUCUAUUUAGGUGACCAACUCCCCCACAGAAUGAAGUAAAAAGGUAUUUUACUUACCUUUUCUCCAUCACAACACUGGACUUGCCACAGCUGACCUGUCUCCAUGGCUGCGAUCAUCAGUCUUGAUGAUCUCAACCAAUCCAAUGCUUUCCUGUAGGGUGGAUAUUGCGCAUGUGCAGCAAAAUAUCACACUACACAAAUCAACAUCUCCCCAUAGAGUGAAUAAGGAGCUUUCAGCAUCUCCAUGCAGAGCGUGGAGAUACUAAACAUAGGUCCUGUAAUCAUGAAGUCCCUCUAAUGAUUUCCACUAGAGGUGUUACUAGGCAGCAAUGUAAAAACAUUGCAUUUUCUCUGACAAGGCAGUGUUCCCAAUGCCGAGACUGCAGGGACAGGCUAUAGACACCAUAACAACUACAUUAAGCUCUAGUGGUUCUGGUGACUAUAAUGUCCCUUGAAGAUACAUAAGGCAAAGUGAGGACUACAUUUGCUUAUGUAUUUUUAUCUGAUUGACAAAACUUGAAAAGCUCCUCUUCCUUUAAGUCCAAAUUUCAUUGUUUUGCACAUAAAACUUAACAUUUAAAACCAGGGGUGUGAGACUUCAGCCCCCCAAAAUUAUUGGACUGCAAUUUCCAUAGCACUCUGUCAGACUAUAGCUGCAAGAGAAUAAGAGCUUCUAGUUUAAAAAAAAAAAAAAAAAAGAUAAUGUGAUGGGAUUUCAGCUAGGCCAAAAUUUUUGUAUGGAUAGACCUGUAUCCCGACUCUCUGUGCGUAGCUUCUUCCCAGUUCCCCUGUAACAUAUCUAGUGCAUUGGCCGAGAAGUCAUCGCAGAGACCGCCGAGACGGUAACAUUUUUUACCCACCUGUCCACGGCAACAACCCUGGACCGAUUACUGCGUGGACCUCCUUUCGUCUCGGCACCAUUGGGCCUUCUUUGUCCAUAGGCUUCUGCUCAGUGGGUAUUGGGGUGUCCCGUCAAUGAAUUCCAAUCCCGGGUCUAGGAACUGAAGGUAAACCAAAUAGGGAUUAAAUCUGUAUCUGACCUUUUCCCACUGGAAAGAAGAGGUGGCUGAUCACCUAAUUAAGCUAAAAGCUCUGUAGCUAGCCCAUUUAGCAUAGGGUCUGUUUGUCCGGCUGAAUUCUGGUGUAUAUAUGUUCAGUCGGUUUCUGGACUAGUUGAACUUUGUUGUAAAUUCCGUUCACUAGAUCGCAGGUUCUGGAGCAAGUAGACUAGCCGAAUUCUGUUGUAAAUUCCGUUUGCUAGAUCUCGAAGUAUGUUCUUAUUCUGGUUUCUGGACCAUGCUGGUCAUGUGUAGGUUGGGCAACCUGGGGAAAAACAGUAGAACAAGACCUGAUAAUUCAGAGGUUACCUACUACUUCUCAUCGUAAAUCAAUAGAGUGUAAUCUUGUACACAUGACAAUAUCUAACCCCCAGCAAUUCAUUAAUAAGUUUGGGAAUCUUUUCGGUUUCCAAAUAUAUGGUACAGGGACAGACCCAGGAGCCAUUAUAUAAAAUAUACCUUGAAACCAAGACCCUGAAUGCCCAAACUCAUCAGGUAUUCCAUUCCUUGUAUGAGAAGAUGAGUGUUGAAGAUGAAGUUCCCCCACACUGUUAAAAACCUGUUAAUUGAUCUGGCUGAGAGUAUUGCAAGUAGUCUUAAUAUAACUAACUGCUUUGUAUGUGGAGAUGCAAAUAUGGGAGACCAAUGGCCAUUGGAAGCGAGAGAAGUAUGGUACCCUGGUUUUGAGACAAAUGAGCAACAGAUGCCUUCCCACCCCAGUAAUCAAGCAACCAUACGGGAAAAAUCUCUCCACUACACACACACAUAUUCUUGAAAACCUAAAAAAUUCUGUCUGGCAUGUAUAUUUUGUGCAUUUACUUUAAUAAAAAAAAAAAUAUAAUAAUGAUAAACAUGUUCAGUUGACGGUAGAUUUGUGUAGAAAUUUUCUUUGUACAAAACGGUAAAUGUACAGAAUAUCGGUAUCUGUAAAUUAUCAGCUAACGGCCUGAAAGUUCACAGAUUAUCGGUAUCUGUAUUGGCUCUAAAAAAUCAAUAUCGGUCGAUCCCUAAUAUAGAUAUGUAUUAGUAUGCAGAACAGAAAAAUGCUGGGCCCAAUCCCUCACUGGAAUGUACACCAACCGCUUUUAGCAGACUAAAAUAUUGCUCAGCAUAUUUGUGUAUUAGUAAAACUAGGGCAACAGUGAAUAAAUUAAGUAAAGUAACGAAAGGACUUUAUUUUUUAUAAUUUUUAAAUUAAAUACCUGUAAAUAAGUGUGUGUGUGUGUGUGUGUGUGUGUGUGUGUGUGUGUGUGUGUGUAUGUAUGUAUGUAUGUAUAUAAUAUAAUAUCUCUCUCUCUCAAGGACUCAUCUAAACAUGCAUACAUCAUAGGGUGCGGGCAGUGGGCUGCUAGAGUAGGACCUAGGUUACAUUGACACUGUGGCAGGCUUAAGCAAUGUAGAAUCAUAUACUGUAACUAAACCCCCAUUUUUUUUUUUGCCUAGGUGAGGUGUUUUUAAAUAAAACGAUUACAUUCUGUGAGCCUUAAAAUCAUUGUUUAGUGAAUGAGUGCGUGUGCUGGGUUGUGUAUUUUGAACGUUUAUAUCUAUAUUUAUUUUUUACGUUUUAUCUUUUCAAGUAAUAGUGGCACAUUUUGAAAAAAACAUGUACAUUCUGUACUUUAAAGGACCACUAUAGUGCCAGGAAAACAUACUCGUUUUCCUGGCACUAUAAUGCCCUGAGGGUGCCCCCACCCUCAGGGUCCCCCUCCCGCCGGGCUCUAGGGGGAGGAAGGGGUUAAAUUUACCUCUUUCUCCAGUGCCGGGCGGGGACGCUCCUCCUCCUUGGCUGAAGCCGCACGCACAUUCAGCCGGUCCAUAGGAAAGCAUUCACAAUGCUUUCCUAUGGACGCUGGCGUCUUCUCGCUGUGAAAAUCAGUGAGAAGCGCCUCUAGCGGCUGUCAAUGAGACAGCCACUAGAGGCUGGAUUAACCAUAUUAUAAACAUAGCAGUUUCUCUGAAACUGCUAUGUUUAUAGAAAAAAGGGUUAAACCUAACUGGACCUGGCACCCAUACCACUUCAUUAAGCUAAAGUGGUCUGGGUGCCUAUAGUGGUCCUUUUAAAAACUAAAAUCAAAUUGGUCAAAUACCCUAAUGAUGAAUAUAUUUGUGAAAAAAUUGAAUGCAUGAUAUUUGUGCGUGCACAGGAUAUAGACGGCUUUGACAUUUAUCUUUGGUCUUGGAAUUAUGUUAUCACCAACAUAUGGACUUGGCUUGGUGUGUUUAGACCGCAUCAGGGGUGCACGCUGUCAGCUGGACAAAUCAGGAUUUAUAACACUUUCACUUUGCGACUACAUUUAAAUUUGUCUCCAUCCAUCAUGACGGUGGUAAAUGUAUAUGUUUUGUAGGUUCAUCAAAGAGCUUAUGGGAGAAAUAGAAAUUAUUUACAUUUAAAGGGACACUAUAGUCGCCAGAACAACUACAGCUUAUUGCAUUUGUUCUGGUGAGUAGAAUCAUUACCUUCAGGCUUUUUGCUGUAAACAUGGUCUCUUCAGAGAAAAUGCAGCGUUUACAUUACAGCCUAGUGAUAACUUCACUGGCUACUCCUCAGAUGGCUGUUAGAGAUCCUUCCUGGGUCAUGGCUGCCUAAAAUGCAUCCAAACAUUCAGUAUCUCUUCCCUCUGAAUGCAGACACUGAACUUUCCUCAUAGAGAUUCAUUGAUUCAAUUCAUCUCUAUGAAGAGAUGCUGAUUGGCCAGGGCUGUGUUUGAAUCAUGCUGGCUCUGCCCCUGAUCUGCCUCUUUGUCAGUCUCAGUCAAUCCUAUGGGGAAGCAUUGUGAUUGGAUCAGGCUACCACUUCUGAUGAUGUCAGUGGGCAGGUCUAAAGGAAACAGAGCCAGAGCUAGCAGCUCCAGACUUGAAUACAAGUAAGAUUUUGCUAUUUUAGGGAGGCAUGAGGGGACUAGGGGGGACUAGAUGGUGGUUUUAACCCUUUAGGGUCAGGAAUACAUGUUUGUGUUCCUGACCCUAUAGUGCUCCUUUAACCCCUUAAGGACCAAACUUCUGGAAUAAAAGGGAAUCAUGACAUGUCACACAUGUCAUGUGUCCUUAAGGGGUUAAUAAUAUAUAAAAAGAAAAAAAAUCUUUCAAUUUUUUUUUUUUUUUUUUUCAGUUUUGGCAAUAAGAACAUGCAUAAUUAGAAAAGUAAUUCAAAAUAAAUAUGAUGUACUCUGUAAAUCAGGACAACUAAGCACAUGUCUAAGAUUUCAGUUUAUUUUUGGCAAUUGCAGGUCACAAAAUACAAGUAAACAAAAAUGUGUUUGUCUUCUAAGAUUAAAAGCCAUCACAGAAAACAAAAUUGCCACACAAAAGUAUAUUUUUAUAUAAAGCAGACAUCAUAAACUAUUUAUUUAAAGGGACACUGCAACUACAGCUUAAUGUAGUUGUUCUGGUAGUAUAGUCAGUCCUGUAGGAUUUUUGCAGUAAACACUGCCUUUUCAGAGAAAGCCUAGGGACACUUCCAGUGGCUACUCCUUAGAUGGCUACUAGAGGUGCUUCCUGGGGCAGUGCUGCACAAUGUGCACAGACGUGUGCAUUCAGUGCAUCUCUAUAAAGGAGAUGUUGUUUGGCCCUGCCUCCUUGGCAAUCUCAGCCAAUUCAAUGCUUUCCCUGUGGGUGGUAAGUGUUAACCCUUUCUAAGAAGGCAAUGGGGGGCAAGCCUAAAUGGUUUUAAGACUAUAGGGUCAGGAAUACAUGUUUGAUGUAGAUAUAGGCAUUUAAAUGUCUCUAAGGAGCUACAUUCUGUGCUGACUCCCAGCACUGCAUGCAGCUCAUCAAAAUGUAUGUGGCUGCUAAAAAUAGUGCCACCUGAUAGAGGUGAGACCCAGAUGUCCAUUGAUACCUGGGACUACCUGGUGUGAGCAGGAAUUUAACCCUGCUCGCACCGCAUUGUAACAAUGGGGAUUAAAAUGCCUGUUUGCAACGCUCAUUUUGAGCUUUGCAAAGAGAGCAUUGGUCAGUCUAGGUCUACUCAUUCUGAUCCCAGGUGAGAGAGAGGUGAACCCCAGGGAUCAAAUGAUAACUGUCCCUGCUGAAAAAUACUACAUGAUUGAAAUUUUAAAGAAGUCGGCACUUUUUUUAGUGCCAUAAUACCCUUCUUUAGAACAGGUACCCAAAAUUGCAUGCAAAAGUUCACAUUCAUGGUGAGGUCUUGCCAUUAAUUUAUAAAGAGGCAUAAUUAUAUUUUUGUCCCAGGUAAUAAUGUCCUUUUGUAUACAUGACAAUACCUUACUGACCUUAACAACUGCUGAUUGACAUUGCACAUUGUUGUCUAGUUAGAGGUGCAUAACUGUUACCAAAUCCUUUUCAUGUGUUACUCCCUAAAUUUGUAGUAAAUCUCUCCCCCCUCUCUUAGAUAAAUGUCACCAAAUGUAAUGUAAAAUAUAUAUAAUCUCUCUCUCAAUCAUUUCAUCUGGUGUUCGGGUGCCCAGUCUCCUUAUUUAUAUUAAUCUCUCUGAAGGAAACUAAUAUCCUGCUCACAUUGUAUUGCCUUACCUAGUUCCAUGUCGUAUUGCAAACACGAGCACCUGACUUUCAUUUCCUCUUUCAAGAUCAUUUAUAAAUAGAUUGAAUAGAAGUUGUCCCAGAACAGACCCCCGAGGGACAACACUUAACACUGUGUCCAGCUUGAAAAUGCACAAUUAUUGACAACUCUUUGUACUCUUAUCUGUAAGCCAAUAUUUUAUCCAUAAAUAAAGAUUUUCACCUAGACCAAUUUCUUUUAAUUUGACUACUAACUUUAUUGUGGAAUCGUUUUUAAACGCCUGGGGAAAAUCCAAGUAGAUCACAUCCACUGCAGCACUCUGAUUUACACUAUUACCGUAUAUACUCGAGUAUAAGCCGAGUUUUUCAGCACAUUUUUUGUGCUGAAAAACCCCAACUCGGCUUAUACUCGAGUCAGUCUGUAUUAUGGCAAUUUACAUUACUUAUAUGUAAUACGGAAACAAGCUAUUGAAGUAUUUACUUACACCUCUACCUGCAGCUCCUGCCAGCUCUCUCUCUCAGCGUUAUGCAGCUUCUCUCAGCUCACUGUAGUCGCGGUACGCAUGUUGCUUGGCUCAACUUACACUGGGGGCGGCAAUGCUGCCGGACAGCUUGUGGGGCGGCACGAGAGCACGGGAAGCCUUCCACUGUUUGCCAGCGUACUGCUGGACCUGCAGGGAGGCCCCUCCUGCCACAUCAAGCAGGAGGGGACAAAUAAUAAUAUAGCGUAUUAAAAUAUGUAAAUAAAAUAAUAACAAAAUAUUAAUAAACAAAAAGUAUUAAAAAAUAAUUAAAAUAAUAAUAUGCAUACUUUUAAGGCUCUGCAACACACAAACACACAUACUCUAAGCACACACGCAGUGCAUUAUACACACUGUAAAUAAAUAUUUAAUUAAUACAUAAUUUUUUUAGGAUCUAAUUUUAUUUAGAAAUUUUGUGCAUUUACACCCUAGUCUUAUACUUUCAGUCAACUAAGUUUUGAUUUUUUUGGGGAGUGGAAAUUAGGAGCCUAAAACCUCAGGAUUCGUAUACUUUUCGGUAUAUCAUUUUCCAUUUUAAUUUAGUGAUCCAUGUUUCAUAAAAUCAUGCUGAUAUCUGUUAAUUAUGUUGUUAUUCCAAAGGAAUUCCUGACUAUCCUUUAAUAGCCAUUCAAUUAUUUUCCACAACCACCAAAGUUAAGCUCAUAUGAGUAUACUUUUCAGGGAAAGAUUUUGAACUAUUUUUGAAUAUUGGAAACACAUCUGCAAACUUCCAAAAAAGUUAGGUUAUUUGCAUACUUGGCUCCCUAAGUACUCAUGAGUGAAUACCAUCAAGCCAUGGGGCUUUAUUUAGUUUUAACUUUCUUUGUUGAUGCAGAAUCUUGUCUUGAAUAAACCAAUCACAAUUGAUAAAAAAAAUAAAAAAAAGUCACAAUUGUGUUUUUCUUAUUUGCUCAUUGUAUCUUUCCUAUAAUACAUAUGACAACAUAAUGGCGGGGACUAAAGCAAUAAAGUGACACAUGAAUAUGAUCAGAAAAGUAUUAUGUUUUAUAUACCACGUUUCUGAUAAACGUCUAUUAAUGUCAAAUGUUAAUCCCUUUUCUAUUUUUUUUAGUACAUUAUAUUAAUUGAAACCGAAUUCUGACCAUAAUCUUUUAUCCAAAGAGACACAAUUAAACUAUGGAUUAAACUAUUAAUUAUGAAAAAUCUGUUAUUCAUAAUUCCUGGAAUAUUUAUUUUUGUGUGUGUGUGUGUUUUUGUGCUUGUUUUUAAGUCACUGUAUUGUAACCAAUUAUCCUGGAGUAUGUCCAGUAGAGGACAAUGAUACCCAUUCAAAUCCUAGCAGUAACUUUGAACAAAGACGGUUUUAUCAUGGGGCUUUUUCUCCCACAGUCCCCAGUUUGAGGAGCAGCGACGGAUCUGCAUGUUUUCAAAAACUAUUUCUAAAGAAAGGUUUUUGUUUUACUAUUUAGGUUUGCUGAAUUUGCUUGGAUUUCCCAUUUUGUUUGGUUAUUUGAAAAAAAAAAAAGAGAGAGAAGAAAUUGACUAUGAUAACGAUCUGUGUGUAAUUGGCACCUUGAUGAAAUGUACAGCACAACAAGCAGAUGAAGGCUGGCUUGCUGCUUGGUUACAAGUUAAAUUUUUUUUUUUUUUUUCUGGCAUUGUUUCCUUUCUGUAAGUGGGAGGCUGUGUAUCACCAUGCAUGGUAAUCUGUAUGUUAAGUGUCACGCCGCAGGUGGGAAGAUGGUACAGAAACAAAAGCAAAAUGUGUCCUCGAAUUGCUUGGUGUACUAUAUCCACGUUGACCUAUUAUUAGAAAUGUGACAUUUUAUUAUGAACUCUUUUGAAUUUGAGCAUAUUAGUUAAUUGGGCUAGUGAAUAUAAGGCAAACCAGUUCUAUAUUGUCUGUAUCUGUGAGUGUGUACAAACGUAUUACUAUAUUGAGCACUAAAUAAUUAAUUAUUUUGAUGCGUCUGUUUUUGUUUCUUCUUAGCCAUUGUUCUGUAGUUUUUUAGUGAUUUAGAACUUUAAUGAAUUGUCAGUCACUGUGAAGUUUAGAAUGAUCACAGCUGUCGGAAAUCUGGCAGCACAGUCCGGAUUUGCCAACACUUUCCCUCCUUUUUGAAUUCUCUUGCCUGGUGUCCUGCUUUUUGGGAAUUUGGUGAAAAGAUUUCAAAAAGUAAAACAGCUGUGUACCAUUAAUACGUUUCAACCAAUGCAUGAUAUUUCUGUCCACAUAGCAGCAAUUUAUACCCUGACCAGUCCUGGCUGCCGUGUUUGCAAGGAAUAGCUAACUAUCAAAGCCAAGAGUGCUAAGGUUCAAUGCUCCUAUUCAGUCUGCCUCUUGUCAAUAGGGAUGUUCCCACACUCCAGCUCUGACCCACCUGUAAUGAUCUCAUACCCUUUUUUGUUUGUUUGUUUGUUUGUUUUUUUGUUUUUCUAACCCCUUAAGGACCAAACUUCUGGAAUAAAAGGGAAUCAUGACAUGUCCUGUGUCCUUAAGGGGUUAAAUAUUUAUAUCGGCUCUAAAGCAGUGGUUACACAAUUUGGGAAACCUAGAUUCGACUUUCAGUCAGACCACUUUACCAGUAAGUGUCCUUGGUCAAGACACCAAACAAUGUAUAUUCACCUACCUUCAUAAAUUGUAAGCUCAUUUGAACAGGGCCUUCUUUACGUCUAAAUUUUCCAUAAAAGUGUUGCGGAAAAUGUUGGUGCUAUAUAAAUGCUAAUAAUGAUAAAAUUUUAUUCUCUCCGCUGAAUAUAUAAUGCUCUAAAUCAAGGUCCUUUUGUAAAGUCUAGCUUCAUGGCCGUAGAAUGAGCUAAAUAUGAUGUGGCGAAACCGACCUUGCCACUGAGCUUUGGAGAAGCCUGUUUGCCUGCCUGCUGACUAUGGCCCCUGGGAGAUUUGGCCCUUUAAAUACAGUAUUUGGGCAUAUUGUAUUUUAUUAUGCUGCUCGUGGCCCUUUAAGAACCAUUUGGGGACCUACUGUGACUUUUGGGAACAAUGCCCCUUUAAGACUGUGUCUCCUGCCCCCCUAAUAUACUUUGUUUGUGCCCUUUUCCCACUUGGUUCAGUAAAUGGGGCUUACUGAAUCAAGUACCACACAGGCGGACUACCCAGAACUGGAAGCGUGCAGGCAAUUUACCUCCCAGGCUGGGAAUCUGCUGUAGGUAAAUUGCAGACCGCUGGGUGGCCACCGUUCGCACAAACGAACGCGUGGCGGCGCCAUCAUUUUUUUUUUUUUUUUUUUUCAUUCAAAUGCGGUCAGCGGUGUGUGGAGCCAAAUUCAUGGAACUGAAAUCGGCUACACAGUUCCACGAACACCGCUGACCCUUCCCUUCUCUUACACUGAAUUUUUUCAGUGUGAAAUAGACCGACCGCAUAGCCCAAAUCUAUGGAAUUGUUUUGGACAUGAAAAUGUGCUUGCGGUCAUAAAAGGACAUCCAGCUAACUUUUUAACCCCUGGAUGGAAUUGGCUGAAUUUUGACUGUUUAUAAUUAAAGUGUGCUGAAUAAUAUUUAAUUUAUGAAGAUUGAAUGAAUAUUUUUAAAGUUAUAGUACAUGUGUAAAAACUGUGUUUCUCUGCCUGUGAUAAUUACACUAACCCAUUGUGUAAGGUAAUUGUAUCACAGGCAGAGGGGAGGAUUUUGUGUGGGAGUGUCUGAGUGCAUUGUACGUAUUGAUUGGUUGAACUUCAAAACCCCGUGGGCGGUACUAUGGUUGUAGAAUGGGCAUAAAAGCAGAGUGUUUGAAUAAAAGUUCAGUUCUACUUCACCAUCAAUUUUGAGUGCCGUCUCUUAUUGGGGGAACCUGCUACAAGGGAUUGCUAUGCUAGUCAUACUCUCUUGCUAUAUCACUACUAAGCUCUUGUAAGAGCUUGUUCCUGUUUUUGCUCUCUGAAGGAGUCUACGGUGGUUAUUGUGUCAGCUGCAGUGCUUGGAGCCCUCAGGAAGCGCUAGGAGCAUCCUUCAACAGAGGUACCCAGUCGGAGUGCCAGUUGAUCCAUUACAUUGGUGGGAUGGCGUCCUAGGGCGAGGACCAGCAGCUUGGAGACACCGGUAACGUGUGAAGUUAUGGAUUUAUAAUUGAGGGCAACACUAGCACUUGUGCAGUGCCCCUGUCUAUAGAGGAACUCAAGAGAAUGGAGUGACCUAGCGACCAAGCAGCAUCCCCGUGUGAAGAAGAGUUUCUCUGGAGAUUGCAGCAACACUUGGCGAACAGUGGUUCCAGGUACUGGUGGCCCUGCAGUCACCUUUCCUAGGGGAGCAACCCCUGGAUUAGUGGGUAAUGGAACUGUGGGACCUGAUUUGGAAGGAGUUGUGGCUGGAUGGAGCUUACCGGGCACUAAAGUGGUACGCCAGCCAGCGCAACCCCUGGAUUACUAACCACUAUCUGUCAGAAGGAGAGGAUUAUAAUGGCCCGGGCUUACUGUGGGAGGCCUUUGAGGAGGGCAAUGACUGGAUGCCCUGCAGAAUGUCGGCUCUGGGACAUCCACGACAUCAGGGAAACUCUGCUGGAUCUUCCCCAAGUGGACGACCUGGGGCCAGACCUGAGUCACCUGGUCACAAUGGAGUGGGAGCUAGAGCAGAGCUACCAACAUCUGUUCAGCUUAGCACAGCAACCAUAUACUACCAGGAGUAGGGACAGUCGGUCCUGCUCCCCAGCGGCAGUAUACCUUGCAGGGAGAGGAGACAACCGGUCUCCCUCCCCAGCGGCGGCCUGAGUUCCAGGAGGAGGUGAUGGUCGAUCCCUCCACCUUACAGCAACCAGCGUCCUGGGCAGUGGGGGCAACCGGCCUCCCCCUCCAACAGCAGCCGGAGAUACCGGGAGAGGGGGAAGACAAUCUUAACCACACUGGUGCAGAUGGGACCGCGGUCUCUGUGCCAGUCCUACAUGCUGGACGGGCUGUCCAGAUCCCCAACCAACCCCACAAGGAUGCCAGGAGGAGAAGGUAAGCGAAACUUCCCCUCCCCAGCUACAUCCCAACCGGGUCCUGGGGGCAGUGGAUGAGCCUGCGAUACCAUUGACCCCUUCCCAGCAGCAGAGCUGGCAUCUGGGCAGAGCGCUGUUAGCCUUUGCCCUCCCUUUUCCCCUGGUCCAGAGCCUGACUUACCACGGGUUACCCCAGCGGAAGAGGCUGCUGGCCUCUGCCCCCCAAGCAACACCAGCAGUUUGCCUAGCUGCACCAGAGAGACCGAAAGUGCUGCACUGUCCCACUAUAAACUUGAACCUACAGGCCAGUACCAUAACCUAGGUACUGACCGGCAGAAGGUCAGGUACCUGUUUAGUCUCUCCCCCCCCCCCCAGGGAAGAUGUGUGACGAAGUACCCUUCGCCACUUGUGCCUGGAGGGGACUACUGGCUAGCCUCCUGCCUUCCGACUAUGGUCCCUGUGCUGAUAGCUGUAUUUUACCCUGCAGAAAGGUUUAUGUGUGUUUUUCUGCUGGGGCGUUCAGGACUUUCAGUAUGUGAGUAGUGCUACCCCAAAUAGCUAUGCCAUGUUUGUAUUGUCUGUGAUUGGCUAAUAUCCAAUAUGUGUCCCAUUGUUCCAUCAGGUCCCCUAGGGGAGUGUCCACCUAGUGUACACUUGCAUAAAUACAGGGCAGGUAGCCCUCAAUAAACCAGACCAACUUGCACCUUUCUUGAAGCCUUGGCUCAUGCUUGGGGGAAGGGAUACCUACACUCUGGGGAUUGCUAUAAUCACUUACUCCCCAGAGUAAGCUCUUGUAAGAGCUUGAUUUGUUCCUGCUACGCUCUCUGGAUUUAGGAGAGGUUCACCCACUGGGAGCUGGAUCAUGGUCGUGGAUCCAGGGUGGGUGAGAGACGGCGAGACCCCAGCGCAGCUGCCUCGCUGGAAGUGGGGUCCACUGUGCUGAUGGUGUCGGUCGGAGUACUUGGAGUCCUCGGCAAGCGCUAGGAGCAUCGAUUGGCGGAGGCACUCGUCAGAGUGCCAGCGGUCCGUCACAUGUGAAAACCAAUAAAGUCCUGGCACGAUCAAAAUGGAGAAUAAAGAAAUCAGAUUGACCAUGUAAUCUGCCCCUGCUGUCAGUGAAAGAUAAUCUAUUUGGGAAUAGUUCUAAAAUAAAAAUGAUUUUUGAGCUUGCUAAAUUUGGUGUGGUUUUCCACAAAACGUCAUACUUAUAGAAACUCCUCGCGUAAAAUCUGUAAGAAGUUUAUAUAUUAAAAACUUGCAGCUACUUGAAGCUGAACUCCAACGGGUCAGUUAAGGACAUACUGUAUGUUUCAGUAGAAAAUAGUUUCCAGAUAGGUGGCAUGUCUUUCAAGGAAUUGCUUGGAUCAUCCUUAAGUGAUCUGUAAACUCCUUCUUCCCCACUUCCUACCUCUUAUGCCAGUCUUGUGAAGGGUUAUGCAAUUAGGGACCCUAUGGUUCCAGAAUUUCGACUAAGACUGGAGCAGUCAGUUUUUCUCCAUGUUGUAGGAUUUGCGCUAUUUUUAACUAUACAAGUUUUCCCUAACACUCAAAUAGCAGCUGCUGCUAGUGAUAUAACCUAUAAUAUUAACGCCAAGGAGAGCAGCUUUUUAACAUAUUUGUAUUUAAAGCAGUAAUUAAAUCCGAUGUGUAUCCUUGACUACAUGCAGUGUAACUUUCCCUGAAUCCCAAGUUGUCCAUGUUGGUUUAUGUGCUGUAGGAAAAUCUGAAAUACUUUGCCUUCCUUUUAGAUCAAUAACACCCUCUUAAAUAGUCCCACAUGGGUAAGCAGAUGGGAUCAUGACUAAUUUGCACCAAUCUGAAACAGGCGUGUAUUUUCUGGCUGUGCCAUAAGUGAUUUCAUUUGAUCUUUUUAGUUUACACGAUGUGGUACAUGUGGCAUCUCACUCAGGAGUAAACCUAUUUUCAUUCAAUUUAAAUUUCUUUUUUUUUUUUACUAUUUUGUUACUAAGCUAGUAUUUAUUCAAGUAUCCUUUGGCAGCAGGGGCUUCAUAAAUUUAACUGACUCAAUGUAUCUUUCCUGGUAAAAUAUUUUAUAAAAUAAUAAUAUAGAUACAUUCCAAAUGAUACCAGCUAGAACAGGCAGUGUUUGGUUGAGAGAAUAACUGAUUAAUCACCUGACGUGGUUAUGGUGCAUAGUGUCCCUUUAACAUUUAGCAAUUUGCACCCACAAAAACACCUGUCCCACCUUGACAGAUGUCCCUAAAUAUGUUUGGGUUUUUUCCCCUGAAGGAUGUAUGGAGAGAUUACAGAUAUUAACUUGACAUUUCCAACUUCCAACUAACCAAGGCAAAUUUUAAUUUUGUUAAGAUAACAGCAGCUGGUAAAAUUCAGUGUGCAGCCAAUUCUCCUAUUAUUCUCUAUGGGAGAUGUUAAACGCUUAGUUUGCAUUGUUGUUGGUAAGAAUUGCAGUUGUAAAAGAUUUUUGAGUUGAGAGGAGAUGGGUCGAGUUCAGGUCCCUGAUGGUGGGCUCUGACAUGCCCCAGUUCGUAAUGUGGGUCCCUAGAGAACACAGACCUGAGAUACGGGCGACCUGCCCAGCGAUUUUCUCAACUCUCUACGUAUUUGGGACGCGACUAAUGCGAAGUACGGGCUGGCCUCGUCGCCCUCCCCCUUGACUCCGCUCUUUCGAAACAGUGAAUUCGCCCCCUGGCAAAUCCUCUGUAGGCCGUAACAUAGAGAGAACCGGCCUACAGAGGAUUUGCCACUUGUACCAGAACGGAGCAGUAGUGAGUUUUGAGGAGCUUAAACAAGGUCAACAUUUAAAGCUGGCCGACUUUUUCCAAUAUAUCCAGCUUCGGGAUUUUGAACGGCAGUGCUCGGUGGACGCGGCACCCAGGGGACUAAUAACAAUACUGUACUCCCACCUCUGUGCUGAGCAUACGGAAUGGGGUAGGCUGAGAUAUAUGGACCAGUGGGAAGCAGACCUCGGUGAGGUGCUGGAAGGCAUCGAAUGGCCGGAAAUAUGGGAAGCAAACAAAAACGCUUUGAUAUGUGUAACACUUCAGGAGCAGACGUGGAAGACCAUGUUUAGUUGGUAUACUACGCCUGUGAAGCUGUUUAGGAUGCGAAAAACAGAUAUGGAUAACUGCUGGAGGGGAUACGGAGCUAGAGGAACAUAUCUUCACAUGUGGUGGGAAUGCCCGACUAUAGUCGGCUUCUGGAAAUCAGUAGAGAAUUUAAUGAAACAGAUUUUUGACAGGCCCCUUGACUUAGACCCAUGGGUGUACCUCCUAAACAGAUCGCUGGAGGGAUGGACCAGAAGAGAACAGAAAUUGGUGCAUAAAAUUACUUUAAGCGCAAGACGAAUAAUUGCGGCCAAAUGGCUGCAGCCGGAAGGCCCAAGGUUUUCAGGAGUGAUCUCUAAGAUUAGAGAAAGCAAACUAAUGGAUGAUCCGACAGCCAGAGUACAGGGGACCAUAGUAUCUUUUCAGAGAAUAUGGGAACCAUGGGACAAUAGCAUAAUGUGUACGGGAGGAAUCUGAGGGCGACCUUUAAGAGAUGAGACAAUUUGACAGAACCAUUGAUUGUUCCUUGUGGAGCCUGCUGGUAGAGGGUGAUGGCGGGGCUCACUAUCUGCUUUCCCCCCCCCCCACACCCUUCUUGCUUCUUCUUUUUUCUCCUAUAUUUUUCCUCUUCUUUCUUCCUUCUCUCUCUCUCUCUCUCUCUUAUUCUACCCUUGCUAUCCAAGGGAAUAGUUUAUAUUCAGGACGGUUAUGAUCAAAAUGGGAAGGCUGUGUCCAUAGAGAUUCUGGAUGAAACGUAUUUUGAGUUAUGGUUUUCUACAUGUUACUUGGCGCCUGACCAAAAUGUAAAAAUACCCUGUGGACAACAGGGAUUAAUAUUCUGCCAAAAGCAAGUUGGUAAUAUCCGAUUAUUUCAUCACUACAGAAGGUUUUGAUAUGUGAUUUGUACUGAUGGCUUCUGCGCAAGCCAGCUUGUCAUAUGUAUCCUGCUGUACAAGCCGUGUGAAAAAAUUUAAGAAUUAAAAAAAAUAAUAAUUAAAUAAUAAAAAAGGAUUUUCAAGUACGGACAGGAUUGCUAGUCGCUAAUGUUCGCAACACCAAUUUUAACAAUUAGUUAGCUUGUUGGUAAAUUUUACAGACCGCACUGGAAACAAGUCUUUCGCAAGCACCAUCAUGCAUAAAUUAAAAAUAUACCUACCUGAAGGUGACCUUGUCAUGCACACAUUUUGUGUAUGACACCUGUACAAAUUUUCAGUCUAAAGGAAACAAGAAUAUAUAUAAAAUGUUUAACAAAUUAGCAGUAGCCACCAUUCCGCUUAAAGUUGCAUAGCUGCAUAUGGUUAUUGUGCACAGACUGGAGAUAAUUUCACAUUACCCAGAACCUUCUGUGUAUUACUUGAAGUUUCCUGUAGCAUUGCCUCUCCUCCUGUUUAUGUGCAAGAGUACGCUCACAGAGGGCUUUUUACACUGCUCAUUUCCAUGGCCAAUGGUAUUUUUGGAACAUAAAGUUUGUUUAUUUUUAAAUCCUCUUGGCGUAGAUGUGUUUCUAAACUUUUCCACAGAACUUUUGUUUCUAAGUAGAUUAAGAUAUAUUUUAUGAGGGUAAUACAUGCACUCUUUUUAAUAGCUAUGCAUCUUGUUUCCGUUACUUUACCCUUUGUGUGCGUUUUUAAUACUGCAGUCAUAUUUCCAUAAUACUGAAUAGGUUCAGUUUUUGUGUAAAUACUUUCAGUAAUUCUUAAAUACUCUAGUCAUAAAUUACUAAACUGGAAUUGCAAAGAGUUACAAAUACAUUGUUUAAGGAUCAUUAUAGUGUCCCCCCCACCCUCAGCACCCCCUCCAUUGGUACUGAAGAGGUUAAAACCCCUUCAGCUACUUUAAUCCAGCGCCGGGCUCCCUCGGUGCUGGUGACCUCUCCUACCCCGCCGACUUCAGCUCCCUAGUGGAGCGGAAUGCGCAUGCGCGACAAGAGCCACACACGCAUUCAAACAGUCCAUAGGAAAGCAUUUCUCAAUGCUUUCUUAUGGACUUUCUGCAGGCUGAAUGUGUCAUGAAGACAUUCACUAGAGGCUGGAUUAACCCUGCAAUGUAAACAUAGCAGCAGUUUCUCUGAAACUGCUAUGUUUACAUCUGAAGUGUUAAAACCUGGGGGAACUGGCACCCAGACCACUUUAUUGAGCUGAAGUGGUCUGGGUGACUAUAGUGUCCCUUUAAGUAGUGUAUCCUAAAGAUUUUAUUUUUUCAUUUAUUAUUAUUUAAAAAAAACAAAUCAAAUAGAGAGGAGUGGUGCUAGCUAACGGAAAAGCGCACACACAUACACUUGUAAUUUUAAAGGACCACUCUAGGCACCCAGACCACUUCAGCUUAAUGAGGUGGUCUGAGUGCCUGGUCCAUCUAGGAUUAACCCUUUUUUCUAUAAACGUAGCAGUUUCAGAGAAACUGCUAUGUUUAUGUUGGGGUUAAUCCAGCCUAUAGUUGCUGUCUCAUUGACAGCCGCUAGAGGGCUUCCGCGUUUCUCUCACCAGCAUUAUGAAUGCUUUCCUAUGGACUGGCUGCGCGCGGCUCCUGCCGCGCAUGCGCAUUCAACCGAAGAGGAGAAGGAGAGCUCCCCGCCCGGCGCUGGAGAAAGAGGCAAGUUUAACUCCUUCCUCCUCCCAGAGCCCGGCGGGAGGGGUUCCCUGAGGGUGGGGGCACCCUCAGGGCACUAUAGUGCCAGGAAAAAAGAGUAUGUUUUCCUGGCACUGUAGUGGUCCUUUAAACAUUUUUAUACCCAAACCCAACUAUUUUAUAUAUAUGUUUUAUAUAAUCGGACCAAGAAUUCCAUGUAUUUGUCUUUGUUGCAAACAUGUACUCGGUCAACUCAAAAUCAAGAAGUUUGAUUACCAAUGCAAUAGUUAGCAGACUUACAUUUGUUUUGCUUGUUGGUGCUUUCACUGCCUGGAAAAUCACAGCUGUUUCCUCUUCUUUUUUUUUUUUUUUUUAUUUAUUUUAUUUUUAGGUUUAAUAUCCGGAACUGGGAUAACAUCAGCCUGCAAUGCUAAAUCUUUAAACAGACGGGUGAGGGGAUACAAGAUCAUCAUGGCAGACUGUAAAACCUUUUGGCUUUUGCCACUAGCGUUCUUGCUUAUCUGUUCCCGCGUAACGACACACUCAGAAGAUCUUUCAAACCAUACCUCGAACUCAACAGAGGCAAUGUUGGAAUGUUUACCUGUGAUCACAUUGAGAGUAGAUCACAUCAUUGUAAAGGAGGGGAGCAGCGUGGUAAUCCAGUGCAAUAUCCAGGGUCAUCCAGAUCCUCAUUUUCAAUGGUACAACUCUAAUGGACAUUUGCUUAAAGAAGAAACUGGUAAG